AUACGUAGGUGGCAAGCGCUGUCCGGAAUUAUUGGGCGUAAAGCGCGCGCAGGUGGUUCCUUAAGUCUGAUGUGAAAGCCCCCGGCUCAACCGGGGAGGGUCAUUGGAAACUGGGGAACUUGAGUGCAGAAGAGGAUAGUGGAAUUCCAAGUGUAGCGGUGAAAUGCGUAGAGAUUUGGAGGAACACCAGUGGCGAAGGCGACUGCCUGGUCGGUAACUGACACUGAGGCGCGAAAGCGUGGGGAGCAAACAGGAUUAGAUCCCCUGGUAGUCCACGCCGUAAACGAUGAGUGCUAAGUGUUGGGGGGUUUCCGCCCCUCAGUGCUGCAGCUAACGCAUUAAGCACUCCGCCUGGGGAGUACGGUCGCAAGACUGAAACUCAAAUGAAUUGACGGGG
rnacentral:rRNA from 1 species